AUUGAACGCUGGCGGCAGGCUUAACACAUGCAAGUCGAGCGGUAGCACAAGAGAGCUUGCUUUCUGGGUGACGAGCGGCGGGCGGGUGAGUAAUGUCUGGGAAACUCCCAGAUGGCGGGGGAAACCUACUGGAAACGGUAGCUAAUACCGCAUAACGUCGCAAGCCCAUAGAGGGGGACUUUAGGGCCGCUUGCCAUCAGCUGUGACCAGGUGGGAUUAGCUAGUAGGUAGGGUAAUGGCUAACGGAGGCGACGAUCCCUAGCUGAUCUGAGAGGUUGACCAGCCACACUGGAACUGAGACACGGUCCAGACUCCUACGGGAGGCAGCAGUGGGGAAUAUUGCGCAAUGGGCGCAAGCCUGAUGGAGCCAUGCCGCGUGUGUGAAGAAGGCCUUCGGGUUGUAAAGCACUUUCAGCGGGGAGGAAGGUGGUUAACUUAAUACGUUCAUCAAUUGACGUUACUCGCAGAAGAAGCACCGGCUAACUCCGUG
rnacentral:rRNA from 1 species